GCGGCCCUGCGUCGGGUAAAGCCCUCUAGCGUGGGGUACGAAAUACGCAAGUGCCACGAGAA
rnacentral:rRNA from 1 species